GGUGGGCGAUGAAUUUUUGGGAAUAGAAACUAACCAUAAAGAAAACGAAGAUAAGAAAAAAGCUUUCCCCAAACUGAAAGAACUCAGAUUUUCUCACCUGUAUGCAUGGGAUGAAUGGGAUGCUGGGAUCGCCCUGGAAGAAGAAGUAAUGCCAUGUCUUCUUCGCUUAUACAUUGGAUUUUGCGAUAAGUUGGAAGCACUUCCAACACAACUUCUUCAGAUGACCCCUCUACGGGAACUGGCUGUGGAUGAUUGCCGUUCUCUGGGAGGCCAAUAUCAUUGGAAUGUUGGAGUGGAUUGGCACCAUAUCUCUCAAAUCCCCAUCAUCUAUUUUGAUGGAGAGAGAUUCUCAAAACAAAAGAACAAGUCAGAAUCUGUAGAAAAAAAGCCCUUUUGAAGCUGAAAAGAGAAGAAAAUUCGAAUAAAAAAGGGCCAAAGUUCAAGGAAAUGGUCUUUACUCUUCAAAUUGCAGGAAAUGUUGAUUUUAACUAUCAGGGGAACAUGGAGGAGCUAGUCCAGCAAAAUGUUCAUAAGGCAAGGAGUAAAUUAAUCUUUAGUCCGUGGGUUUUGAAAUGAGAUUAUAAUCUACUACUUUUUCUUUAAAUUACAGGGACAUAAGAAGAGAUCAUCUGUUUAAACUUCGAGCAGUAUGAAGGUUUACGGCAAAUGGAUAGGAAUGAAUAACAGUGAAUGCAAAGCAUAUUCUGUAGAGCACAUACCGAAGAAACAGAGGAAUUCUGCUUUUGAAGGACAUUACGGGUUCAGAAGAACGUACAUUCUGCCACUCUUCAACUUGAUUUGAGGUAUUUCAAACUGCAAUAUGCAAUGUGACAGUAGAAUUCGUAGACAUAAUCCAAAAGUGAUUCUGCAUGGUAACCGUCAUGUGGAUCGUAAAGAAGAACAUUCCUGAGAAACUCCUAAUCAUAUGCAAUGAGAAAGCUUUUGAUUGUUGAGACU